rnacentral:lncRNA from 1 species
UUUCACCCAAACAGAUCUUUAUUGCAUAUAUUCAUCUUCCAACAGAUACACAUUUAUUUUAAAUUUCCAAACACCAUACUGUUAAGCUAAGUUAAUUAUACUCUGUCGCGAAUUUAUUUUUCGUCUAAACUACUGUGAACUCAUAAGAUUUUGCAGCAAGCCAAAGUUAACCAAGUUCCAUUGAAAUGGUGAAGUCUGCAUAUCAUCUCACCUACGCAUUGAAACGCUCAACGAGGUAUAACGUAGUUCCUUCCACAACUCCAACAGCAAACAAUUGAGCAUCAUCAGGAAGAUAAGCAUUCCCCAUUCGGAGUACCUUAUUUUCGAUGACAACGUCGUGUUCUGCAUGAAGUUUUGCCUUCAACUGAUCUAUGGUAGUACUAUCGUGGAUGACAUAUUCAUAUUGAAUGUCGCCAGCCUCUAAGUAGAUCGUGACUUUAAUUUUUUCGAGGAGAAUAAUUGAGGUCUCAGAAGGAAUGUUAUAGUCUUGUAGAGUCAGUUCAUCCCUUAGGAAUUGCCCUGCCCAUGAGAGCUCUUGCCUUUCUACUGGGAAUGGGAUGCGAAGCACUUCCAAAAUAAGUUGCUUUACGCCGAUAAUUUGUGUAGCGAGAGAAAUCAGCAGAAUGGAUUCUCCUCCACUCCAUACGAAUGUGAUGAGCGGGGUCUGUCAAAUACCAAUUAUUCUGUUAUAUAUAUCAAAUUGUGCAGGCAAAUAAACUCAGAAAAAGAAUAUUAUGAUUUAAUUAUUAUUCCCAAAUGAAUGAUUUAUUAUAAGAUAAAAGGCUUAUGGAGUGCAAAAAUGCUUACUUCCGGAGGCGGAUUGGAGUCGGGAUGGUGGAAGGGAUCAAAAUCGAAUAUUUCGUUGGGAUCAUAGUCUUCCCACAUUGUGCCACUAGAUAGUUUUAUGCAUGCUUCAAUGUGCGAAGGGGAAUGAUCUUGUGAAAAUGUAUCUCCUCAUGGCAUUAGCAUGGGGUUGCCUUGAAUGUGAUUUGCAUGUCUUUAAUUCAUGCAUAUUUUGUUCCAAAACUUUUGACUAAACAUGAAGUCAACCCAAGUUAAUUAUUGUCACGCAUCUUCUAUGUGAAAAUGCAGCCAAUGCCAUAAAGAACAAUUUAAACUUCAUUAAUCUAAACUUAAGCAUAAGAAUAGGACCAUGUCAACAUGCAUACGAUUGAUGUCAGAAAUAAGAUUGAUGUCAAGUUAGGUUUAAUGUCAAUUACUUUACCUUUACGUGUAACUUAUUAAUUAUUGGUUUAGUGAUAUUUUACCUCUACAAUAUUGGAAGAUAUAGUAGAAAUGAACAUAAGUGGAUUGGAUUUUUAUUGUUUCGACAAAUAAAGAGAAAGAUAUAGAUUUUUAUUUUGUUUCAACAAAUAAAGAAAAAAGUCGCCGUCUAUGGGAAUCGAACCCACGACCACACGGUUAAAAGCCGUGCGCUCUACCGGCUGAGCUAAGACGGCAUUUGCAUCACAACAGAUUUUGAAAACCCUAACCUCUACACAAACGUGAAGCCACUUGGAGUAAUAGCAUCAACAUAAUCUAAGCUUGACUUAUAGAACGUAGAUCAUGAAUAUUUGAGAUGCAAGUAUGUACCCAAAAAAAUAAUAUCAUUGAUAUUGUGGGAGCAAAUAUUUUCGUUUCCAAUCACAGCACGCUACGUGGAAAAGAAAAUGAUCUCUUAAAUUAAUUAAUUGAACCAGUUUAUCUGGCUAAUUAAUUAAUUGGGAUAAAUAUCUUAAUUAAUAUGAUAUUAUCUUUAUUUAAUAAGAUAAUAUCAUUAAUUCAGAUAUUAUCCUAAUAAAGAGAAGAUAAUAUCAUUAAUUCAGAUAUUAUCUUCAUAAAAGGAGAUAAUAUCAUUUAUUUCAGAUAUUAUCUAAGUCCGACUCGAUCCCUACGACUUUGGGUGGAGAAUAAACUCAGCAUAUUCUCUACAAAACCCUACUCCCGAGGCUCCUAUAAAUAGAGGACCUCAUUCAUCAUUCAAGGUACAUCUAAACCUAUUCCUAAUACCCAAGAAAAAUACCUGAAGCUCUCUCUCCCUCUCCACUCUCCAUAUUUUCUCCACACGGCUCCGGCCACCACACACGGCUCUGGCUGCCCGGUUCACACCAUACAUACAACUCCGUACCCUUGCUUAGCUAUUGUUUUCCUACAAACACUCGAACUAACUUAGGCAUUGGAGGGCCUUUGGCCAACACCCCCCAUGUGUGGUCUAUUUACUCCAAUAUUUUUUUACAGGAAACGAGGAAGAGAUAGAAGGAAGGCCGAAAGUUGAGGGAUCUAGAAGUGAACAUUCUUCCGUGAGAUUAUUUGCACAAACAGAUACAUUAGAAGAACAGAGAGCCUAUAUCUUAAUUUUAUUGUGUACAUAAUUGGUUAUAGAUUUCAGAAAAUUCGAGUUUUCCCCUUAAAUUCUAAUCAAACUUUUUUCUCAAGAGCCUCUAUGAAUUUCAGGAAGUUACACAAAAAGAUUGGACUUGAAUUCCAAGCCCUCAUUAGAGUCUGAAAACCAGGCCUGAAGCCCAGAACCGACCCAAAGUAAAUAAUCGGGCCUUUCCUUUAAGAUUCAAAAUAAUUAGCCCGUCUUUAUAUAUUCAACAGCCCCGAUCUGACCCGGAGUAAGUCCAAGCUGAAUUUCGUGCUUGUGUAAUGUGUUACAUUUUCACCUCAAUGCUUUCGCGCCUUACUUUCUUUGUCAUUUUCUCCCUCCCAGUUUUUCUUGUUGUUGUUAUGUUUUUAUAAAUAAGCUCAUUUUAGUAUAAUAUAUUAUACAAAAACCUAUAUAGAGUCUAUUUAGAGAGAAAAAUCCAGAACUAGUUGCUUGUCAUUUUUUAAUUGUUUCUUAGAAAAUUUUAACACACUAAGAAUCAAUUAAAAAUGACAAGCGACUAGUUUUGGGGUUUCUUUCCAAAUAGGGCUCUGUAAGGAUUUUUGUAUAACCAAGUCCCAUUGAAACGCUAAGUUAUUUUUCCAUACCAUCUCACAUACGUUUUUUAUCCUCAAUGAGAAAUAACUAAGCUCCUUCAACAUCUCCGGCAACCAAGAGUUGAGCAUGAUCAUCAAGAUAACUAUUAUCCACCAUCCAGAGUACCUUAUGUUCAAUGUCUACGCCUUGUUCCGUCUGAAGUUUUGCCUUCAACUCACCCACGGUAAUACCAUCGAAGACUACGUACACAUAACAAUGGCCAUCGAACUCCAAGUAGAUCUUGACUUCAAUUUUCUUAUAGAUAACAAGGAAAGCAGUAGGGGGAAUGUGAUAGUCUUGCAGAGUCAGUUCAUCUUUCAGGCACUGCCCUUCCCAUGAGAGCUCUUGCCUAUCUAUUGGGAUGGGGAUGCGAAGCACUUCUGAAAUCAGUAGCUUUACGUCGAUAAUUCUUGUAGCCAUGGGAACCAGCAGAAUGGAUUCUCCUCCACUCCAUAGGAAUGUGAUCAGCGAGGUCUGUCAAAUACCAAUCAAUUUG